rnacentral:rRNA from 1 species
UACGAGGGGUGCAAGCGUUAAUUGGAAUUACUGGGCGUAAAGCGCGCGUAGGUGGUUCGUUAAGUUGGAUGUGAAAGCCCCGGGCUCAACCUGGGAACUGCAUCCAAAACUGGCGAGCUAGAGUACGGUAGAGGGUGGUGGAAUUUCCUGUGUAGCGGUGAAAUGCGUAGAUAUAGGAAGGAACACCAGUGGCGAAGGCGACCACCUGGACUGAUACUGACACUGAGGUGCGAAAGCGUGGGGAGCAAACAGG